rnacentral:lncRNA from 1 species
UAAAGAAGCAGUGAAAAUACUUUAAAUAAAGUUGUAGGAAAAAAAAAGUUUAUGCACACUUUUUUCCUUUUCAGAAGCUAAAAAGCAGAGCAAGUAUAAAUUCUGGGCUCCUAAAUCAAAUUUCAGAGACUUCAUUGCAUCAAAAUGGGCUUAUUUGCUCCCUGAUGUCUGUUUGUCCUUUACUAUAGGGGCUCCCAAACACACCAAAUGCUAGCGGAGCUCCAGGUCUACUUUGGAGGCUGGAGACUACUUUGUUCACUGGCAUUUGACUAGGACCCUGAGGUCACAGCUUGCUUUUAUGAUGUGGAGACAAUGACUCUAAGUGAUGAAUGGAGAGCUUGCUAAUUGAACUUGAAGCAUUAAAUGUUCUCCUGAAAGCACUCAACCUAAUGAGGUAACAAAAGCUCCAGAGGACAAAAAUUAAGCAAAGCAAGUUAGUUCUUGAAUGAAACUCUUGAAACCCCAAUUUGAGACAAUAAAGAAGAAGGAAAAGGAAAAAAAAUUAGAAAAAGGAAAAAUGACAGAAUAUGAGGGUCCUCAAUCAUAAAAGGCUGCAUUCCACUGCUGUCGGUGAGAGGUGACGGUGAUCUGGACUGGAGCUGGGGAGGUGGAAAUGGAAAGAAGCAAUCUGAUCUCAGAUAUAUUGUGGAGGAAUUUCCAAUAGGACUAGCUGAAGGUCUGGAUAUAGGAAGUAAGAGAGAAAGAAGCAGGAACCAAGGAAGAAAACUUCUAGGUCUCUAACU